GAGAGACGUGUCCUGGGCACUGCAGCAGGAAGCCCCUGCUCACUGGCAGGUCCUCCCCACCCAGCCAGCGCCUUCACUCCUCCAUCCACCUUCAUCACCAUGGCCAUGCCGGGGCCAGGGACUUCCCAGGGUGAAGAGGAGAGGGCUGGUCCAGCUACCAGAGAUUACGUUGCCUUGCCAAUGAAGAGGAAGUCAGAUGGCAUCUUGUCCCAGUGCCAGCAACACAUCUGUCUGAACAGCCGUGAAGAGCAAAAGAUUGACACUUUGCAAGAGAUGGAUGACUUCGAGAGGGUUCAAAAAAGUUUCAGUCCUGGUGAGAUGGAAAGGGUGGAGAAGAUAGAGCAGCUGGAGAGGAUGGUGUUUGACCUCCAACAAGAUGUCCUCUCUCUGAGGAAGAAGGUGCAGAGGCUGGAAUCCCUGUCCUUCCAGGAGGAACCCCACCGGCAGCCGUGCGAGGUGGUGGAGCUCUUCAAUGGCUACACCAAGGAACAGCUCAAAGAAACCAUCAGGUUUGACCAGAAAAUCAGCACAGCCUGCAAGACACUGCUCUACAAGCUCUUCACCUCUGACUACAUCCAGAGCCACUCCAUCACGGGGCGGAGGGGCAAUACCUUCCGGGAGGCAAAGCCCAUGAUGGACGAACGCUGCAUCAAAAUCAUCAGGGUGCUGUUGAAGCAGAAGUUUGGAGAUCACCUCAGUGACACCGUGAUCACAGAGAAGAUACAAAAUGUGCAGAAAGCCCUGAGGCAGAAGUUUAAGACAGAAUGUCUCUGAGGCACGGGGGGUACUUGGUGUCUCCUCCUGCCAUUCUCGUGUGUGCACCUGAGCAGCCCUCCCGGGAAAAGAUGAGUCCAAUCUGCUGCUGUCCAGUUGAUUUCCCCCAGGGAAGCAAUCCAAGGGAACCGUGUGCUAAACACAGCUCAAACCUUUCACUGCCAAACCUCUGCCCACGUUGAUUGAGCAGGAAUUCUGCCCAGCUUGGCCGAGUUUUUGCACAUCUGCUAGCACUCUACAGGUUCCUUCCUACCCAGUCUGUGUGUGAACCUCACUGCGGGUGCAUGUAAUUGUCUCUGUGACUUUUUGAUGAUGUGCUCAGAAGCUGAGGGCUCCCACUGGGUCCAGGUAUGGGUCAGUAAGUCAGCUUUAACCUUGCAGUGGGUUAGGGAGAAAUGUUGGCUCUGGGAUAGGGAGUCCACCUGUGGAUGGAGUGUGUGUCACCUAACAGGGCUUCUCUCUGCAUGAUUCUGGUGUCCUCCUUCUGCCUGUGGGACAAUAUUUGUUCUCUUUGCUCCCAGUGAAUGUGUUUUACAAUUUCCUGCAGUAACUGAACAGCAGACUCAUAAACAGCACCAUAAAACUUUCAGAGAAAGAUAAUUUCAUUUUUUUCUCCCUCUGUUUUAAUGUAGCUGUAUGGAAGAAUUGUCUUCACUUACAAAAACCUCCUGAAAAAUAGAAGUGGUCACCUGUGGAAAUUACUUUGCAUUAAUUUUCCUUUCAAGACCAGAUUAUUUCCAUGGAGAAAUCCUGUGUCAUUUUCACGACACAAGAGUGAGGGAUGAAGGACAAAAUAUGGCCCACUGUAGUUACAUCUUUACUUCAAAGAUCAGACAUGCUAUGGACACAGUCACCAUAAUUUAAAUACAGUAUUCAUACCCUAGUUAAGAAAUGCCAAGUACAACCAGAGAGUUUGCUGAGAGACUAUAGAGAAGGGCUAGAAAGACACAUCUUUUCCUAAGUAGUCCAGAGCUGGAGUUUGGGUGGCUUAAAAUUGUUUUUAACAGUAAAUGAAUAAAAUGCUGACACCAGUCCA
rnacentral:lncRNA from 1 species